rnacentral:rRNA from 1 species
UACGUAGGGUGCAAGCGUUAUCCGGAAUCAUUGGGCGUAAAGCGUUCGUAGGCGGUUUAUUAAGUUUGUAGUUAAAUCUGGUGGCUCAACCAUCAACUCGCUACAAAAACUAAUAGACUAGAGAUUGACAGAGGCAACUGGAAUUCUGCAAGUAGGGGUAAAAUCAGUUGAUAUGCAGAGGAACACCAAAAGCGAAGGCAGGUUGCUGGGUCAUUUCUGACGCUGAGGAACGAAAGCGUGGGGAGCAAACAGG